rnacentral:rRNA from 1 species
UACGUAGGAGGCGAGCGUUAUCCGGAUUUACUGGGCAUAAAGAGCGCGUAGGUGGCCUUUCAAGUCGGAUGUAAAAUCUCCCGGCUCAACUGGGAGGGACCAUUCGAUACUGUUGGGCUAGAGGGCAGCAGAGGAAGGUGGAAUUCCCGGUGUAGUGGUGAUAUGCGUAGAUAUCGGGAGGAACACCCGUGGCGAAGGCGACCUUCUGGGCUGUUCCUGACACUGAGGCGCGAAAGCGUGGGGAGCGAACAGGAUUAGAUACCCCAGUA